AGUGAACGCUGGCGGCGUGCCUAAUACAUGCAAGUCGAACGGAGUGGCGCACGGGUGAGAAAUAUAUAGCUGAACUGCCCCUUGCUGGGGGACAACAGUUAGAAAUGGCUGCUAAUACUCCAUAGCAAGGUAUGAGACUCUAUCGUAUCAGGUCGUCGGUGGGGUAACGGCCUACCGAGGCUAUGACGCGUAACUGGUCUGAGAGGAUGAUCAGUUACAUGGGAACUGAGGCACGGUCGAAACUCCUCCGGGAGGCAGCAGUAGGCAAUAUUGCGCAAUGGGGGAGACCCUGACGCAGCAACGGCGCGUGGAGGAUGACACUUUUCGGAGAGUAAACUCCGUUUGUUAGCCAAGCGGUACCUAACGAAUAAGCACCGGCUAACUCCGUGCCAGCAGCCGCGGUAAUUC
rnacentral:rRNA from 1 species